rnacentral:lncRNA from 14 species
CCCUGCCCGGGGCAAGGGAGCCCUGCCCAGGGCAACCGAGCCCCGCCUGGGGCAAUCGAGCCCUGCCCGGGGCAAUCGAGCCCUGCCCGGGGCAAUCGAUCCCCGCCCGGGGCAAUCGAACCCUGCCGGGGCAAUUGAUCCCCGCCGGGGCAAUCGAUCCGCCUGGGGCAAUCGAUCCCGCCGGGGCAAUGCUGAUCCCGGCCCGGGGCAAUUGAUCCCCGCCCGGGGCAAUCGAUCCCCGCCUGGGGCAAUCGAUCCCCGCCGGGGCCAAUCGAUCCCUGCCCGGGGCAUUCGAGCCCCGCUGGGCACGCACAGCUGCCCCCGGAACUCUGGACGCCGCCCCCACCCACUGUGGGUGGACAGACAGACAGACAGACAGACCUCAGGGCCUGGGCCCCCUCCGGCCCGGCCCCCCCGUUCCGGAGGGUCCCGGAGCCAUCGGCCCCCACAACAAAGCCGGGGGUUGAGCUCCCGGUGUCGGUGUCUGCGUGGGGCCGGGCAGCGCACGGGGCACCCUGCCUGACGUCUCCUCGCUCUUCCAGUACAGUUCUGGUAUCUCAUUUUCUUUCAGCAUAAUAGAGAUCAUAAAAUAAUAAAUCAUAAAAUAAUAAAUCGUUCUGAACGGGGGAGUCACAGUUCUCAUCUCUUCCCUCGUCCUGGGGACCCUCAAACACCACCACAAUCACCGGCUUGAGCUGGGCUGGGCAGCACCAAAUAAAAUAAAAAGCUUUAAAAAUAGAAAACUUAGAAAUAAAAAUGAAAUAAAAAACAAAAUUUAAAACAUAAAAUUAUUAGAAGUAAAUAAAAAAAUAAAAACCGCAAAGUGCUGCAAAGUGAAGUGCUGUAAAGUGCCGUACAAGCUCAAUAAAAAAAGUGCCGUAAAGCACGACGGUCAUAAAACUGCCCUUAAGCGAGACUGUCGUAAAGUGCAGGAAAGCGUGAUUGUCGUAAAAGACUGCUGUAAAGCACGACUGCUGGAAAACUGUCGUAAAAGGUGACGUAAAGCGUGACUGUUGCAAAACUGUCGUAAAAGGUGCUGUAAAGCGCAGCUGUCGCAAAACUGUCGUAAGUCGCGACUGUUGUAAGAGGUGUCGUAAAGUGCAACUGCCCUAAAAGGUGACGUAAAGCGCGACUGUGGCAAAAUUGUCGUAAAAGGUGUCGUAAAUCGCGACUGUCGCAAAACUGUCGUAAAUCGCGACUGUCGUAUAGGCUGCCAUAAAGCGCGGCUGUCGUAAAAGGCGCUGUAAAGCGCGACUGUCGUCGAACUGCUGCCGCCGGGGUCCCGGACAGGCGCGGGCGGAGCGCGGGGUCCCCGCCGGCAGCAGCAGCCGCACGGCGCCCGCCACCGCCCCGCCGCCCGUUAUUGAAACCCAUUUAGCUGCCCCGACAGCCGCCCGGGGACGGACGGACAGACGGGGAGCCGCGCACCUCCCCCCCGCCGGGCCCCGCAACCGGCGCCGCUGGGGCUGCGCAGCGAGAGCCCCGGGACCCCCGAACUGCGCCGGGAGUUCCCGAGGCCGCGACCCCCCCAGACCGGGACCCCCCGCACCCCCACCCCCGGCCGUUUCUCGCUGCCGCCCCCCGGUGGCCGCUGCGCGCUCCUGCAGCCCCGACGGCGCGGCCGCGGCUCCCCUGACCCCAACCCAGCCGAAAUCACCCCAAAAACGCAGCCGAGGGCGCCC